AUUGAACGCUGGCGGCAGGCCUAACACAUGCAAGUCGAGCGGGGUUUUCGGACCUAGCGGCGGACGGGUGAGUAAUGCGUAGGAAGCUACCCGAUAGAGGGGGAUACCAGUUGGAAACGACUGUUAAUACCGCAUAAUGUCUACGGACCAAAGUGUGGGACCUUCGGGCCACAUGCUAUCGGAUGCGCCUACGUGGGAUUAGCUAGUUGGUGAGGUAAUGGCUCACUAAGGCGACGAUCCCUAGCUGGUUUGAGAGGAUGAUCAGCCACACUGAAACUGCGACACGGUCGAAGCGUCUGCGGUGGGCAGCAGUGGGGAAUAUUGGACAAUCGGCGCGAGCCUGGUCCAGCCAUGCGGCGGGUCGGCAGAAGGCCUGCGGGUUGUAAAUCACUUUCAGUAGGGAGGGAGGGUUAAGUGUUAAUCGUGCUUAACUUUGGCGUUACCUACGGAAGAAGCGCCGGCUAACUCUAGUCCAGUAGCCGCCGUAAUAC
rnacentral:rRNA from 1 species